rnacentral:rRNA from 1 species
UGGGGAAUAUUGCACAAUGGGCGCAAGCCUGAUGCAGCCAUGCCGCGUGUAUGAAGAAGGCCUUCGGGUUGUAAAGUACUUUCAGCGAGGAGGAAGGCGUUGUGGUUAAUAACCGCAACGAUUGACGUUACUCGCAGAAGAAGCACCGGCUAACUCCGUGCCAGCAGCCGCGGUAAUACGGAGGGUGCAAGCGUUAAUCGGAAUUACUGGGCGUAAAGCGCACGCAGGCGGUCUGUCAAGUCGGAUGUGAAAUCCCCGGGCUCAACCUGGGAACUGCAUCCGAAACUGGCAGGCUAGAGUCUUGUAGAGGGGGGUAGAAUUCCAGGUGUAGCGGUGAAAUGCGUAGAGAUCUGGAGGAAUACCGGUGGCGAAGGCGGCCCCCUGGACAAAGACUGACGCUCAGGUGCGAAAGCGCGGGGAGCAAACA